rnacentral:rRNA from 1 species
UACGUAGGGGGCAAGCGUUGUCCGGAAUCAUUGGGCGUAAAGAGCGUGUAGGCGGCUUGGUAAGUCCGCUGUGAAAGUCCAGGGCUCAACCCUGGAAUGCCGGUGGAAACUGUCAGGCUCGAGUCCGGAAGAGGCGAGUGGAAUUCCUGGUGUAGCGGUGAAAUGCGCAGAUAUCAGGAGGAACACCAAUGGCGAAGGCAGCUCGCUGGGACGGUACUGACGCUGAGACGCGAAAGCGUGGGGAGCGAACAGG